UGUUAACCUCCCUGGGCGCAGCUGAUGCAGCCAUGCCGCGUGAGGGAUGAAGGCCUUCGGGUUGUAAACCUCUUUCGUCCGGGACGAUGAUGACGGUACCGGAAGAGCAAACCACGGCUAAGUUCGUGCCAUGCCCCGCGGUAAUGUAAUAGCCCCCUACUAAUAUUAAA
rnacentral:rRNA from 1 species